UUCCUGUUGUUUACUUAGUAGGUAUGGCCUGCCCGCUGAAUUUUAUUUGAAUGGCCGCGGUAUUUUGACCGUGCAAAGGUAGCAUAAUCAUUAGUCUCUUAAUUGUUGACUUGUAUGAAUGGCUAAACAAGAGGCUUGCUGUCUUAUUAAUUUUUAUUGAAUUUAAAUAUUGUGUGAAAAUGCACAAAUUUUUUAAUGGGACGAGAAGACCCUAUAGAGUUUUACAAUAUUAUGCUUUUUUUGUUAUAAUUUUUUUUGGGUUUUUUAUUGUUUUAUUGGGGUGAUUGGGGUGAAUUAAUUAACUCCUCUUUAUUUUUAUUAUUUAUUUAUAAUUUUUUGAUCCUUUAUUAUAGAUUUUAAGAUUUAAUUACCUUAGGGAUAACAGCGUAAUCUUCUUUGAGAGUUCUUAUUGAUGAGGGGGGUUGCGA
rnacentral:rRNA from 1 species